AGCAGCCGCGGUAAUUCCAGCUCCAAUAGCGUAUAUUAAAGUUGUUGCAGUUAAAAAGCUCGUAGUUGAAUUUCGGAAUCAAUUUGUUGGUCGUGCCUCGGUACGUACUGGUAUUAUUGGUUUCUACCUUCUGAAGAACCUUGAUGUCAUUAAUUUGGUGUCUUGGGGAAUCAGGACUGUUACUUUGAAAAAAAUUAGAGUGUUUAAAGCAAGCAUACGCUUGAAUACAUUAGCAUGGAAUAAUGAAAUAGGACGUUUGAUUCUAUUUUGUUGGUUUCUAGGAUCGACGUAAUGAUUAAUAGGGAUAGUUGGGGGCAUUAGUAUUCAAUUGUCAGAGGUGAAAUUCUUGGAUUUAUUGAAGACUAACUACUGCGAAAGCAUUUGCCAAGGAUGUUUUCAUUAAUCAAGAACGAAAGUUAGGGGAUCGAAGACGAUCAGAUACCGUCGUAG
rnacentral:rRNA from 1 species